rnacentral:rRNA from 4 species
CCGAAAGCUAUUUAGGUAGCGCCUCGUGAAUUCAUCUCCGGGGGUAGAGCACUGUUUCGGCUAGGGGGCCAUCCCGGCUUACCAACCCGAUGCAAACUGCGAAUACCGGAGAAUGUUAUCACGGGAGACACACGGCGGGUGCUAACGUCCGUCGUGAAGAGGGAAACAACCCAGACCGCCAGCUAAGGUCCCAAAGUCAUGGUUAAGUGGGAAACGAUGUGGGAAGGCCCAGACAGCCAGGAUGUUGGCUUAGAAGCAGCCAUCAUUUAAAGAAAGCGUAAUAGCUCACUGGUCGAGUCGGCCUGCGCGGAAGAUGUAACGGGGCUAAACCAU